CGGACAAGAGUCACAUGGGCGAUGCAAUCAGCGCUGCCGACCGCGCGCGUGGCCUACCGCCGGCACCUCCACCGCCCACUGCUCGACAGUUGCGUGCGUCCCGGCCCCUCCGGCUCUGAAUUCCGCCGGACAAUCAUUGUACUGCUUGUCUGCUUCUGAUAUACAUAUCUCUCGCUCGCUGCCCACCAAUACUACAUUACCACUUACUUCUCACCCAGCAAGGGUUCAGAUCUCGCUAGCUAGCUUUUGCUCUGGAGCAAAUCAAGGGCUAAUCAACAUCUCUCCAGUUGAUUCCAGCCACUGAAACCUCCAACCAAGAUCCGUCUCUCAUAUCUGCAGUUGAUUUUGAAGGUACACUUAAUUGAUUUUGAAGCACGGGAUUUUUUAUGUCUAAAAGUUAGUAAUACCGAGGCGAGGACUAAUUUUUUAUACCCAGUACCAGCUCAAGGACGACCGAACCCUGCAAUACAUCACCAAUAUGCUCGCCGCCGCCCAGAUCUGUCUCUCAUCUCCAGUUGAUUCAAGCACCAGCUCAAGCAACUGAAACCUGUAACUACUUCCCACAGAGAAAGGCAGACCUGUAUAGUUUUGGCUCUAAAACAAGGGCCGGCCAAGAUCCGUCUCUCACCUCUCCAGUUGAUUUUCAGGGUACAACUUAAUUAGUUUGAGCUCCACAA